ensembl:lncRNA
GAAUGGAAGAUAUGGGGCAGGGAAUGGAAGAUAUGGGGCAGGGAUGGAAGAUAUGGGGCAGGGAUGGAGGAUAUGGGGCAGGGAUGGAAGAUAUGGGGCAGGGAUGGAAGAUAUGGGGCAGGGAUGGAGAUAUGGGGCAGGGAUGGGAAUAAUAGGCAGGGAUGGAAGAUAUGGGCAGGAAUGCGAGAUAUGGGGCAGGUGGAGAUAUGGGCAGGGAUGGAAGAUAUGGGCAGGAUGGACAGAUAUGGGCAGGAAUGGAAGCUAUGGGUCACCCCCCACGCGCAGCGCAGUUAUGCGGCAAUUGAUGUGUUUGUUAUGGCUUUAUAGGGCAGCAUAUAGGCAAGCCUAUGGGGCAGCUAUUUGGCAGCUAUGGGCAGCUAAUGGGCAACUAUUAGGGCAGCUAUGGGCGUUAUAG